AGAUCACUAAGCCCAAGAGGUGGAGGCUGCAGUGAGCCGUAAUUGUGCCACUGGGCUCCAGCAUGGGCAACAGAG
rnacentral:snRNA from 1 species